rnacentral:ncRNA from 1 species
UAGAAGUUUUAUUCUUGCUUAUCUUGUUUGUUUUUAAUUUACUUUAUAUGUAAGUUUUUGCGUGAUUAUUUAUUAUAUUUCUUAAUGAUUAUUAUAAUUUAAUUAUAGUUCGCAGUAGUGAAUAUUAUUUAUUAAGGAAAUUUAGAAAUGGUAAUUUUGAUUUAUUAUUGGUAAAAUUUGUGCCAGCAGCCGCGGUUAUACAAGGAAUAUAAAUAAACAUUUUUGGUUAAAAUAGUUGUAAUUAUUUUUGAAGCUAUAUUUAUUAUUUUUAGGUGAAAUUUUAAUAUUUAAUAUAUCUUUAUUGUUUUGAGGCUAUGAAAUCUAUAAAUAUAAACUAGGAUUAGAUACCCUAUUAUUUUAGAUGUAAAAUAUUCUUAACCUAGGUAGUAAUAGUUAAGGUCUUGAAACUUAAAGAAUUUGGCGGUAUUUUAGUCUAUUUAGAGGAAUCUGUCCCUUAAUCGAUAAUCCACGUUGAACCUUACCAAAUUUUAUGUAUGUAUACCGCCGUUAAUUUAAUGAGAAUCUUUAUAGGGUUUUAUAAUUUUCUGGAUUUAUUUUUAAAAUUUAUUUCAGGUCAAGGUGCAGCUAAUAUUUUGGUGGAGAUGGAUUACAUUUAUAUUAAUUAUUGGAUUAUUUCUUGUAAUUUGAAAUAUAAAAUUGGAUUUAAUUGUAAUUUUUUGUAGAUUGUAAAUUUGAUUUUAGCUCUAUAAUAUGUACACAUCGCCCGUCGCUCUCAUUAAUUUAGUUGAGAUAAGUCGUAACAUAGUGGUUGUACCGGAAGGUGUAGCUGGAAUGAA